UCCCCUGACUCAACCUUUCUGCUCCCUCAUGACCUCUGCAUCCUUCCUGUUCUUCCCUUCUCAUUCUUGUAGCUACCUCCCCCCUCUUCCCAUGCUCUCAAGCCAUGAAAUUCUUUAAAAAACUAUUCAGACAUAGAACAUGUUGAACACAGUGUAUACCUGGACCUGACUUCUUGCAUCUUAUAGACAACCAAGCAGUGUCAUGGGGGCCAGAUGUAAAAUUGUAAUCCUUGGCUUUAUUCCAUGGGAUUAAAAAGUCAAGAUCCCAUUAAGAUGCCAAGGGGAUAGCUUAGAUGAAACUCUACCAACCCACACAAAUGACACAUAUAUAAAUGUUGCUCAUUAAUUUGAACUUGCUUGGUAAAAAUUGACCCAUGAUACUAACUUUUGCUAAGAAACUUUAAAAAGUCAAAAGAAAAUCCAUAAAGAGGGGAUUCCAAUCAGAUGCUUAUUCCUCAAGAAUUAUCUGGAGAAAAAAAAUAUGAUUCUAUGUAACAAUGGUGUGUGUAUGGCAGCAAGCUUGUAAUGCCUUCACCCGUGGAGGCAUUUGGAGAGACAGGGUGUUAAAUGGGUACACUUAAAUGGGAUGGGGCUUGGGAGUAGAAUACCAUUGUCCUGCUAUAGGCUCACACCUUAAAAUUCCACAAAUGUGGGAGGGGAAUGGGAUAUUUUCUUGUUUUGCACUGUUUGCAUGACAUUGUUUUUGAAAUCCUAGUCCGUGGUGUUUAAUUUUGAUUGAUAACUUGAUGGAAUCUGAAGCUUCUACGAGGUGUGCAACAGGACAGAUAGACAAGUAUACUUGCCAGAGUUGAGUAAAAGGUGAAGACCCUCCCAAGAGUGGGUGUUGCAUCCUCACCGAUAGUGUCUAAAUAGAGAAAUCAAAGUUAUGAGGGCAUUUUUUAUAGUCUUUUGACUAUAAAAUUGCAUUUUUAAGAAAGCUCUUUUUAGUAUCUACCUUGCAAUUCCCUCCUCCUGCAUUUUCUUGUUUGGGAAAGUUUAGGCAUUAUUUAUCCUUAGUAUUUUAGUUCCCUGGUUAGAGAGAAAAAUAAUCAAUAUGAUGUAUAAAAGAAAAAAAUGCAGUGGACCAAUUAAAGAGGCAAGAAAUGCUUCAACACAACUAGUGCAAGAGGAAAAUAGAUUGAACUCAGUUGUGCUGAAACAAAGAACUUUGGAGGUUUUAUGUUGAGAUAAGCUACUGGUAACCCUUGGAAAAUACUAUGGUAAAGCUGUUAAGAGUGAACCUGAACAUUUGUAGAUUGUCAUUUCUCAAAGAUGCUUAAAGACAUUCUUCUCCUUAGAAUCUUUGCUAAGGAAAUUGUAAAAGAAUGUCUUCAGGUCCUUGUAAAAUGAAAAAUAAAGACCCAGAAACAGUUAUUGGGGUUCAAACUUCAAGCUGAUGUUCAGAGAAGCAAAUCAGCCAGGAUUUCAUAUGUUGUCAACCAGAUUCAGUCAUCUUAAACCCUGGAAUAGAAAGGGGCAGAAAUAGCAGAAGCAUUGAAAGAAUAGACACAGGCCAAGAUUUCUAAAUAGACAUUCGCUCUGCUCAUGACCUCUGCCGAAGAUGUGACCUCUUAAGGAAAGAAAGGAGGGUAUCACGCUCUCUUGGGUGGUGAAGACCUGGUCAAGAGACAUGAAGAAGCAUGUGAUCAGUCCACAGCUUUCCAAAGACUCUGCAACUGGAUUUACCAUAUCCUGUAUUUGUGAGUGUAUUUUUCCCUUUUCAUAUGGUAAGAAAUCCAUUUUACCACUUAAACAGAUGCGCAUGGAUUCCUCACUACACCCAGGUCACAUGUCCCCCCAAUUUUAUUGUAUCUCUGUAGAGAUAUAUGUGUUCAAUGUAUAUGAAGCAUGCUUAAGACCCAUCUCAGUCAUGGGCUUAACUCAUCUACAAUAUUACUAAAAUAAUUAUGUCAUUAAUUCAUAUAAAAGGCCUCUGGCCAUUUUGUCACACCUACAAAUUCCAAAAGUGCUGUAUUCUAAGAGUCAACUAACACCCUAUAACAUAAGGGUUUCUAUUUAAUAAAAAUGCCCUGUUUUAAAGUUCA